ACCAUCUGGAAAUGGUGUAUUUAUUAGUCUCAAAGCCAAGACGAUCACUUCGGUGGUUGGUUUCAUUGGUGAAUCAGAAUAACUAUCACGAACCAGAACGCCAUUCGUGGUGAUUUCUGGUGGUUCAUUCAAAUUUCUGCCCUAUCAUACUUUCGAUGGUAGUAUAGAGGACUACCAUGGUUGUAACGGGUAACGGAGAAUUAGGGUUCGAUUCCGGAGAGGGAGCCUGAGAGACGGCUACCACUUCUAAGGAAGGCAGCAGGCGCGCAAAUUACCCAAUCAGAAAUUCUGGAGGUAGUGACAAUAAAUAACAAUACAAGUCUUACUUAAGUCGUGUAAUUGGAAUGAGAGCAAUUUAAACCCCUCAUCGAGUAGCAAUUGGAGGGCAAGUCUGGUGCCAGCAGCCGCGGUAAUUCCAGCUCCACUAGUAUAUACUAAAGUUGUUGCAGUUAAAGAGCUCGUAGUUGGAUUCAAGAUUUUGGAUGACUGGUCUCACGUUAAAUUGUGAUGUACCGUUGCUCAAUGUCUUAUUUUUCUUGUAAAAAGUCUUCCAGUAAUCGCCUACUGCCAUUGAUUUGGUGGGUUGGGAUCACGGUUCUGGAUUCUUUACUCUGAAAAAAUUAGAGUGUUCAAAACAGCCGAGUAUUAUUUGGCAUUGAAUAGAUUAGCAUGGGAUAAUGGAAAAGGAUCACGUCACUUUUUCAUUGGUUUAUAGUGGUGUGAUAAUGAUAAAUAGGAACAAUCGGGGGCAUUAGUAUUCAGUUGUCAGAAGUGAAAUUCUCGGAUUCUCUGAAGACUAACAUCGGCGAAAGCAUUUGUCAAGGAUGUUUUCAUUAAUCAAGAACGAAAGUCAGGGGAUCGAAGAUGAUCAGAUACCGUCGUAGUCCUGUACCAUAAACUAUGCCGACCAGCAAUCCAGUUUAGUUACUAGUUCCAUAUCAUCUCGCGAUGAUUUGGAUGGAUGACAUUCCGGGCGGCUUGUGAGAAAUCAUAAGUGUUUAGGUCCUGGGGGGAGUAUGGUCGCAAGGCUGAAACUUAAAGGAAUUGACGGAAGGGCACCACAAGGCGUGGAGCUUGCGGCUUAAUUUGACCCAACACGGGGAAACUUACCAGGUCUGGACAUAGAAAUGAUUGACAGAUUGAGAGCUCUUUCUUGAUUCUAUGGGUGGUGGUGCAUGGCCGUUCUUAGUUCGUGGAU
rnacentral:rRNA from 1 species